AAGUGGUUGCAGAUUGAAGAUGGAGGAACAAGAGAUGCACUUGAAAGUUAAGAAGGGUGAGAGCUUCCUAUUUACAGAUAAAUUCACAGAAAGUAUGUACUUCUUGGCCAAUGAGCCAUCGGUGGCUCUGUACCGACUGCAAGAGCACGUGCGCCGAUCCCUCCCAGAGCUGGUGCAGCACAAGACAGACAUGCAAGGAGUGGAGGAGCAGUGCCAAGGUGCGAUAUAUACUGUUGAAUACGCCUGCAGUGCUGUUAAAAGUAUGUCCAACAGUGGGGCAUACUUCAAGAACAUUGAGGGGCUGCUCCGACGAGCCAUCAGCAUCAAGGACCAGAUGAGCUCUCUGCAGAGCCGCAGAGCCAAGCGUGCACCCCUCCCUUUCCAGGCUGUUCAACGACCCCCACGCUCCUCUGGUCAGUAGGUUAGGUGUGUGGGUACAGAAGCAAGAUCAGAGCAGCCCAGCUGACCACCUAACGGGAUUGUCGAGGCAUUUCGACAACAUGAGCAAACAAGCCCGGCACCAUUUGUAUUAUGUUAAUUUGUGAAGCAAUCGGUCAAGCAGUACAGGAAAGGUCAACAGGAGUUGAGGAGAAGAUGAGGCCAAUCGAGAAGUAGUGAGACCAAGCUCGGGUUUCGAAAGGCCACAGUAGGAAGAAGAACAGAAGAUCAUAAGAAUUAGGAGCAGGAGUAGGCCAUUCAGCCCAUUGAGCCUGCCCUGCCAUUCGAUAAGGUCAUGAUUGUGAUUGUGACUGCUCUGAUUGUGGCCUUAACUCCACUCUCUUGCCAGGCCCCCGUAACCCUUGACUCCCUUGUCAAUCAAAAAUCUGUCUAACCCAACCUUGAAUAUAUUCGGUGCUGGUGAAGAGAAUUCUAAAGACUAAUGACCUUCUGAGAGAAGAAAUUCCUCCUCAUCUCCACCUUAAAUGGUAGACCCUCCUAUUUUGAAACUCUGCUGCCCAGUUAGACCAGUUCGAGAUUUCCCCACGAAGGGAAACACCUUCUCAGCACCUACCCUGUCAAGCCCCCUCAGCAGCUUAUAUGCUUCAAUAAGAUCACCUCUCAUUCUUCUAAGCUAAUGGGUAUAGGCCCAACCUGCUCAACCAUUCCUCAAAAGGAGGAAGGGAAGACUGAAGAAGGAAAGAGAGUCUGAAUUUUGAGGUCUUGAGACAGAAUGUGUUGAGAGCAAUGAUUGUCCAUUGGAAUUUGAGGAAGUGAUGUAAAGAAUGUCCUGAGCUUGGUUUGAAGAGAAUGAGUCGUGUGAGCAUCAUUCUCAUCUUCAAAAAGCCAGUGUUGGAUGGUGUAUUCAGUGAACAAUGGUCGCAAGGCUCGUUCCGGACAGCGCGAAGAAAAGGGAUCAGAUGGGAUAAGGUUCUGAAGGAGAUGGACAGUUAUUGGCACUGGUGUGUUUUACCCGUGCGUGUCUUUGUAUGUGUGUUUUCACAAGCAUAGAAAGAAACCUCUUUACUUUGCUGAGCUCAGCUUUUACAAGGAAACGGCUUCAACUUCUUCCCAUCAGAAUUUUACAACAGCACGGAAGCAGCUAUUUCAGAGAAGUUAAGUCACGUGCAGAUGAAUUGUACCUAUCCCAGUAGUCUGCCCCUGCAUCCCCCAGAAAACUUGCACUAUUGUAUAAGAGGGCAGGGAACUCACUUGUCUGCUCCGUGUUUGAGUUUAUGUACAAAGGAAAUUGGCUUCCAUUACCUUCCUAGCCAUCUACACCCUUUCCAUGGUGUCCUAAAGAUACAGGUUUGUUUUCUGUACAAGACUUUAUGGUUCCUUUGUUUGAAAGUCCUCACUGCCGAUCUUGGGAUACAGAGACUGCUGAGAAAAGGGGCUGACCUCGGGAGAAUACUUGACACUACUUCUGUGGGUUUGCAUUAACCAUAAAACCUUGUGCGUGAGUAUUGUACUAAAUAAAUGGAUGGAGAGAA